rnacentral:rRNA from 1 species
CAAGUCGAGCGAGCUUGCCUAGAUGAAUUUGGUGCUUGCACCAAAUGAAACUAGAUACAAGCGAGCGGCGGACGGGUGAGUAACACGUGGGUAACCUGCCCAAGAGACUGGGAUAACACCUGGAAACAGAUGCUAAUACCGGAUAACAACACUAGACGCAUGUCUAGAGUUUAAAAGAUGGUUCUGCUAUCACUCUUGGAUGGACCUGCGGUGCAUUAGCUAGUUGGUAAGGUAACGGCUUACCAAGGCAAUGAUGCAUAGCCGAGUUGAGAGACUGAUCGGCCACAUUGGGACUGAGACACGGCCCAAACUCCUACGGGAGGCAGCAGUAGGGAAUCUUCCACAAUGGACGCAAGUCUGAUGGAGCAACGCCGCGUGAGUGAAGAAGGGUUUCGGCUCGUAAAGCUCUGUUGGUAGUGAAGAAAGAUAGAGGUAGUAACUGGCCUUUAUUUGACGGUAAUUACUUAGAAAGUCACGGCUAACUACGUGCCAGCAGCCGCGGUAAUACGUAGGUGGCAAGCGUUGUCCGGAUUUAUUGGGCGUAAAGCGAGUGCAGGCGGUUCAAUAAGUCUGAUGUGAAAGCCUUCGGCUCAACCGGAGAAUUGCAUCAGAAACUGUUGAACUUGAGUGCAGAAGAGGAGAGUGGAACUCCAUGUGUAGCGGUGGAAUGCGUAGAUAUAUGGAAGAACACCAGUGGCGAAGGCGGCUCUCUGGUCUGCAACUGACGCUGAGGCUCGAAAGCAUGGGUAGCGAACAGGAUUAGAUACCCUGGUAGUCCAUGCCGUAAACGAUGAGUGCUAAGUGUUGGGAGGUUUCCGCCUCUCAGUGCUGCAGCUAACGCAUUAAGCACUCCGCCUGGGGAGUACGACCGCAAGGUUGAAACUCAAAGGAAUUGACGGGGGCCCGCACAAGCGGUG